CUCUAAACCUGAAGUCAAAGUUUAUAUAUGCGAUUUAAAAGAAAAAAAUUGUAACCCAAACGUGGGUUGUGCAAAACAAAAGCUUGAAGUGUGUGUGCUGCAUAAAUGAUGAGCGACAUGGGAGUUGUUGAGAUGCCCAUAAUGAAGUAGGAUUCGCUGCAUACAUUUAGGGAAUUUCACAGCCACAAUGCAUUGGAAGAAUGGGGCUGCAAGUUUUAAUAGCUAGAUCUCUUCAAGUAAACAACAAAACAACUUGGAAGAUUGCGAAUACCGAAGCCUCUGCGGUGGUUCUCAAAUGAGGUGGAGGGGCAGCUAUCACCUGCAUGGGUGAAAAAGGAGUGGGAGGACCUGAAGCAAAAUACUUACACUUAUUGCUGUGCUUGGCUAAUAAAGUUCCCCUUUUCUCUGAAGCAACAACACUUUCCCAUCUAUUUCCUAUGCUUCACUGGCACAUUCAUGUGUUGAAAGCUCCCCCCACCGGAGUCAGCACGGAGGGAGGGGAGGCCACAGCCACAUCCUGGAAGUGGUAUGUGGGGAUGGGUGAGGCGCUGCAGGGGCUCUCACUCUAUCACCCCACCAGUCAUCAUCUCUUCUGUUCUUCUGUUUUUGGUGAAGUCCUUUAAACUCAAAGUGGAUUUCUGUUUUCUCAUUGAAAAGUGUUUGUUUGUAAUAAAAUAAAAAAAUUGAUACCAGUA